rnacentral:rRNA from 1 species
AUUCCAGCUCCAAUAGCGUAUAUUAAAGUUGUUGCGGUUAAAAAGCUCGUAGUUGGAUUUCUGCCGAGGACGACCGGUCCGCCCUCUGGGUGAGCAUCUGGCUCGACCUGGGCAUCUUCUUGGAGAACGUAGCUGCACUUGAUUGUGUGGUGCGGUAUCCAGGACUUUUACUUUGAGGAAAUUAGAGUGUUUCAAGCAGGCACACGCCUUGAAUACAUUAGCAUGGAAUAAUAAGAUAGGACCUCGGUUCUAUUUUGUUGGUUUCUAGAGCUGAGGUAAUGAUUAAUAGGGAUAGUUGGGGGCAUUCGUAUUUAACUGUCAGAGGUGAAAUUCUUGGAUUUUGGAAAGAUGAACUACUGCGAAGGCAUUUACCAAGGAUGUUUUCAUUA